GUGGAACAGAAGCCCCGCCCACCACGUUAGCCGCUCGUGCUGGGCGCCAUUUUAGUUUCUCUCCGAGAGAUUCACGAGACGAGCAGCGGAAUAAAGAUACAAAUGCAUCUUUUGUUGUUUAUUUCUUCGGAUUUUGGUCAGGUUUUUCUCCAGAGCGUGAAGUUCGUUUAGUUCAACGAGUUUCGUGAUGGCGAGUCAACCCUCGAGAGACUCGACUGAGUGAACUUCUCCUCAGAACGGCUGAAUCCUCUUUAAAAGAGCCGUCUGACUGUUGUUUGUUGAGGACCAGCCACUUGAGGGCACUGCAGAGCACAUUGUCCUCCAUCACAACAAGAUCCCUGGCCAUGAAGAAGACUUUGGCCACGUAUGC